rnacentral:rRNA from 1 species
AGAGUUUGAUCAUGGCUCAGGAUGAACGCUAGCUACAGGCUUAACACAUGCAAGUCGAGGGGAAACGGCAUUUUAGCUUGCUAAGAUGGCCGUCGACCGGCGAAUGGGUGAGUAACGCGUAUCCAACCUGCCCCUGACUAGGGAAUAACCCGUUGAAAAGCGGCCUAAUGCCCUAUGACCUCAUCAGACGACAUCAGAUGAUGAGCAAAGGAUUCCGGUCAGGGAUGGGGAUGCGUCUGAUUAGGCAGUCGGCGGGGUAACGGCCCACCGAGCCGACGAUCAGUAGGGGUUCUGAGAGGAAGGUCCCCCACAUUGGAACUGAGACACGGUCCAAACUCCUACGGGAGGCAGCAGUGAGGAAUAUUGGUCAAUGGGCGCGAGCCUGAACCAGCCAAGUAGCGUGAGGGAUGACGGCCCUAUGGGUUGUAAACCUCUUUUAUAUGGGGAUAAAGUGCGUGACGUGUCAUGCAUUGUAGGUACCAUAGGAAUAAGGACCGGCUAAUUCCGUGACGGCAGCCGCGGUAAU